UGGGGCGAGCGGCCUAGUGCUGCGAAGCAAUUGGAAGUGGUUCCAAGAAAAGCCUCUAAGCUUCAGUCAUACGAGACCGUACCGCAAACCGACACAGGUGGGCGAGAUGAGUAUUCUAAGGCGCUUGAGAGAACUCGGGAGAAGGAACUCGGCAAAUUGGUACCGUAACUUCGGGAUAAGGUACGCCCUGGUAGCUUGACUGGCCUGCGCCAGAAGGGUGAAGGGGUUGCAAUAAAAUGGUGGCUGCGACUGUUUAAUAAAAACACAGCACUCUGCAAACACGAAAGUGGACGUAUAGGGUGUGACGCCUGCCCGGUGCCGGAAGAUUAAAUGAUGGGGUGCAAGCUCUUGAUUGAAGUCCCGGUAAACGGCGGCCGUAACUAUAACGGUCCUAAGGUAGCGAAAUUCCUUGUCGGGUAAGUUCCGACCUGCACGAAUGGCGUAACGAUGGCCACACUGUCUCCUCCCGAGACUCAGCGAAGUUGAAGUGUUUGUGAUGAUGCAAUCUCCCCGCGGCUAGACGGAAAGACCCCAUGAACCUUUACUGUAGCUUUGCAUUGGACUUUGAACCGAUCUGUGUAGGAUAGGUGGGAGGCUUUGAAGCGUGGACGCUAGUUCACGUGGAGCCGUCCUUGAAAUACCACCCUGGUUUGUUUGAGGUUCUAACCUUGGCCCGUGAAUCCGGGUCGGGGACAGUGCAUGGUAGGCAGUUUGACUGGGGCGGUCUCCUCCCAAAGUGUAACGGAGGAGUUCGAAGGUACGCUUGGUACGGUCGGACAUCGUACCUAAAGUGCAAUGGCAAAAGCGUGCUUAACUGCGAGACCGACAAGUCGAGCAGGUGCGAAAGCAGGACAUAGUGAUCCGGUGGUUCUGAAUGGAAGGGCCAUCGCUCAACGGAUAAAAGGUACUCUGGGGAUAACAGGCUGAUACCGCCCAAGAGUUCAUAUCGACGGCGGUGUUUGGCACCUCGAUGUCGGCUCAUCUCAUCCUGGGGCUGUAGCCGGUCCCAAGGGUAUGGCUGUUCGCCAUUUAAAGAGGUACGUGAGCUGGGUUUAAAACGUCGUGAGACAGUUUGGUCCCUAUCUGCCGUGGGCGUUGGAAUCUUGACGGGGGCUGCUCCUAGUACGAGAGGACCGGAGUGGACGUACCGCUGGUGUACCUGUUGUCUCGCCAGAGGCAUCGCAGGGUAGCUAUGUACGGAAGAGAUAACCGCUGAAAGCAUCUAAGCGGGAAACUCGCCUGAAGAUGAGGAUUCCCUGGAGGCUUGACCUCCUUGAAGGGUCGUUCGAGACCAGGACGUUGAUAGGCUGGGUGUGGAAGCGCAGUAAUGCGUUAAGCUAACCAGUACUAAUUGCCCGUAAGGCUUGAUCCU
rnacentral:rRNA from 1 species